CACUUUCAUAAAGGUGUAGCCCCUCUACCACCUACUCUCUCUGCAUUACCUGCAGGUGGUUUUCCUGGCAAAGUGAUUUUGUAGAGUUUCUUCAGCAAUGACAGAAAGGAGUACUUCAGGUGACUACAAAACAUGCAUAGUUGCAACUAACAGACGCUGAACAAAAAAUCCUCUCAAAAGAUGUAAAAAAAACUUUUGAAAACUGAAGAAGACAGGACCUGAUCGAUGCAAAGUGUAGUAAUCCUGCGAGAAAGCUUUGCUGGGAGCUAGGUCUUAAUGUUAAGACUCCUUUCUCCUUUUAGUGGCUUAUGACUGCUUUUCUCCAGUGUCUCAGUGGUACUAACAUGCGAAUUUCAUCUGUACUAGAGCAAACUAGGAAAAGUUUAGUUUUGCACUAGAAUGAGAUACGUUUUUGGCUUGGGCUUAGGCAGCCUAGGCAGGUGUUCUUGAAUAAAUAUGACACCUGAAAACAUCUUUUUUGUUGGCCUUUUUUUUCAGUCUGUUUAAACAAAUGGCCAUUUUUAGUACCAUUGGGAAAUAAAAAUUACGAGAUUGUUAGCAAAAGUAAAAACUUCUUUCUGCACUCACUGAUUGCAUCUUGUUGUUAUGUGUGAUUCUUUGUGCCCAUACAAGAUACUAACUUUCUGAGGAAUUGUUUGGGUGAUGAUGUUAGUGACUGUUGGCGAGUGUUUUUCCUAUGAUGACCAUCAAAAUAAAAGCAUGUAGGCAAACAG